AAUCCAUAUUGUGGGCAUGAAUUGACAAGAUCCUUGAACCUUUCCCAACAUUGAAAGAAGGUCUCAUCUUCCUUUUGGGCAAAGUUUAUGAUUGACUUUCGUAUGAUGUU